ensembl:lncRNA
CCUCCCCCAGGUCCCAUAGCUCAGUCCCUCCCCCUAUUGCUGCUGGUGUGAACCUCUGGUUCCUAGCACCCUGGGCACAAAGUAUGUGUGUAUGUGGGUACGUGUGUGUGUUGAAGGUCAAGACCAGGCAGUAACCAAACAAUCGUUUCACUCUCAGCUUCUACCCCCUCCUCCAGAGGCCAUUUUCUUUUUCAGGAAAACCACCUAGAUUCAGUCUGGACCUGGCCACAGUGUGCUCCACGGACUUAGCCCUUGGCCUCCAUACUGUGGGGUCACAGGAUACAGAAUCCAGGAGAACAGAACAGAGAACUCUUCACCCCCUGCAGCUCACCUGAGGAGGAUCUAGCAGCUUCCUCACCCAGCCCUAGCCUCCAGCUCCCAGUGUUGGCAGAUCCUGCCCAUGAAGAAGUGGAGACCCAGCAAGAAGGCAAGGAAGUGGCAGCCCUUCGGUACCGGCCAGAGUCCUAGGGGAAUGAGAGAAGGGCUCCCUAGUUCCCUCCCCGCUAGCUUAGUUACACAGUGGGGAGCAUGCCCACCCUCAGAUCAUUCUCACCCUCCCGGCCACUCAUUCUUUAACACCUAUCCCCCAUUUCUGUAACUACUGCUUGUAGGGGGCUUGAGGUGUUUUCUCUAGUUACUUUUUAGGAGGUCUAAACUAAAACUCACUCAGAAUGUUCUCUCUGCCCGUGUGGGAGGUGCACCUUGACCCAUGGAACCAAAGGAUGUCAGAAUUGGAAAUCAGACAGUGCCACUGCUCUCUUCCUUAGAACUCCCGUGGCUCUCCACUGUCUUCAGGAUCAAGUCCAAGCUCUCACUCUGGCCCACAAGGUCCUCCAUGCCAGUGCUCCAGCCUGCUUCCCCCUCACCGUGGUUUUCUUUGCAGCCCUCACACAUUGAUCUUUUAGCUCAGAGUUGUUGUCUCCAGUUGGAAUGUUCAUUCCAGUCUCCUCUCCACCACAUUCCCCUCCCAAUCCCUUACCCUCACCCAAAAAAAAAAAAAAAAAAAAAAAAAGCCAAAACCUGGGAGACACUUUUUUGUCAUUAGGUCUCAACUUAGAUGUCACUGCUUCCCGGAAGCCUUCCCUGAUACCCGUAGUACCUCCUUCUCUUGGUUACUCACCUUGGUGAAGCAUUUGCAGCAAAGUGCAAGGUAUAGGGCAGAACUGUGUCCUCAUGUUGAUCACCGUCUCUGGAGCCCUCCUGUCCACAGUGGCUAGCACAUCACGGUACUAUCGCAGGCCUUCCCAUAUCUGUUUGUUGAAUGAUUCGUGAAGGCAAGACUGAACUCUUUGUGUUGGGGAGUCCUGCCUUGUGUCCAGGAAAGGAAUCCCAUCCCGGACUCCCACUCCCCACUCUUUGGAAAGGGAUCACCCUCCCUUCUUCAUCCCCUCACUCCCCAAAGACAGGAAACUCCCUCCCUCUGGGCCAGCCUUCUGCCUGGGAGAAAGUCCUUCCUCAUCUGAGGAAUUUUCAAGGGGCCAUAUCCCUUCCACAAGGACAAAGUAGAAGCAAAGGGGCAACUGACGCGUGUGUGUAGGGACCAGCAGGGACGCGAGGCCCUGGUUCCAUCUGUCUCCGUUUCCAUGAUCCAUCCCUGUCUUGUCUACACUUUGGUCAUGGAGCCAUUAAGUUCCUUUUUCCCUCUAAACCGAUUUAAGUUGGGCUUCUGACACAGCCAAGAGUUCGGACCAAUAUAAUCCGUAAAUGCUUGACACCUUUACAGGGAAUCAAACAAAUGGCUGUAGUGAUUGGAAGUUUUGUGGUAACAUGCCUGUUGCUGGCUCAGCUGGGCAGAAGCUGCCCUUCUCCUGACUCAGGACUCUGCAGUUGAAGGCUCCUGUCUCUGCGAGGAGCUGUUUGUGCUGAGGCUGGCCCUGACACUGAGGUGAAGUCCAAGAAAAUGUUUGAACCCUGUCUGUUGUUGGGUUCAGGUGUUUCAGAUGGUGUAGGUGGGGCAACUUUGGAGGCCAGGCUGCGUGUGUGUGAGAUAUGCUGAGAACUCAGCAUAAAAGGAGACAGGUAGAAUGAACUGGGCUCUGCAAGGGCCUCAGAACAGAGAGGCUAGUGGUUGUCAUCUGAUGUGGACACUGUUUCUAACUGAGACCCUCCUCCCACAAAUGUGUGCACUCUUGGGGAAAUAAAAAUGCUCUGACAUGGAA